UUUAAGGAGUGAACCUUAUCUUAUUCCUAUAGCAAAACAUCUUUUACAGAUUCAACAAGAACCCUUAAACAUUCCGAAUGCUGAAAACACAGGAAUAACCUUUGGGGAGUAGUAUACAUAAAUCUAUAAUUUGUUCCCUAAAUAACAGAAAAGAGGGUAGGGCGAAGAAAUUAAAUCAGAAGACAAGCAAACAAGUGCCUCCAAUGAGGUUAGCAUCAGAUGCCCCCAGCAACAUCAAUAUACACAUGCAUUUUCACAAGCCAGAGCAGAGAGUGCCACCACCACUACAAUAGCCAUAACUAUAUCAACAACAAGAAGAAUAUAAAACUCUGUAUUUAGUCUAAUGGCAUGUUGUGCAUUGAACAACUCCCCAAGCUAGAACCAAAUGCAAAGUCCACAGACUCGCAACAUUAUUUUCAAUCCUUCUACACUUCCUCUCUAUCUCGGCUGCUACUCUUCAAGAUAUUGUACUUGCAGAGAGGGCAGGUAGCAUUAAUGUACAGCCACUUAUCUACACAGGGACAGUGGAAGUGGUGACCACAAGGAAGUUCCCUUAGCUCAACUCCAUCGUCAUAAGCAGAAAGGCAGAUGCAACAUUCCGCAUCCUCCUCUGAAAGAACAUGUUCAACUGGUGAAUCUGUACCACAUUCAGUCAUUAUCCCACCCAGAGGUCCUUGUGCCUCGCCAACAAGUUUCUCACUAUUAACAGUUUUGCGGAAUUUGAAUUUUGAGAGCUGAUCGAUGUCUUCCUUAGAUGCUCCUUCCUGUUUUAACAGGUUGUAUAAAAAAUUGAAGAAAAACAAUAAGACAUUUAUAUAUGCUAACCAGAAACUGCAUACCAGGUAUAGGAACUAGCAUUUCAAGGAAGUUGACACAGCCAUGCCUGGCCAUAAAACUUUGAAGUUUGAACUAAACCAAAAGGAACUAUAAAAAUAUCUCUGUGUUUCACUCCCUGUCCCUGGCUGGGUGAGUGAAACUUCAUUAAUUUCAAUAGAAGAGGAUAUGCACUCAAAAGAAGUUGAAGAAUAUGUGGCCAAAAAGGUUGAGACAAAUAGGUAGAAUGGCUAAGUCGUUCAUCCAAAUGCUUGAAAAACUCAUGUAGUUCUCCUAGGUGAUAGGAGAGCAACAAUUAAUAAGGUUUGAAAAAAUACACUCUCAAGAAAAUAAAAAUCAGCCAAAAAGCUACUUGGAGUUGCUAAAGCAACGGAGGGUUAAGGCAUAUGAAAUCAGGAAAAACAGCAUUUUCAAUGAUGCAUCUUAUAUCUCAGACAAUGCUCAAAGAAAAUGUCUCAAAGCUCAAGCAUCAGAUCAAGUAUCAAGAUUUGCCUUUACAAUUAGCCUUCUUGCUCCUAGUUGAAUAUUAUUUCUAAUAUUUGAUUCAACUACUUCAGCUAUCCAAAUUGAAGAUUUUUACAUGUGUUUGCUACAGACUAGUCAGUACGAGUUCUCACACACAUAUCUAACACUGAAAACUUGAAAGGACAGCGGCUUCUAGUUUCAGCUAAAAGAGGGCCCUCAAAGCGAUGAUUAUAUUACAGAAAUACAAAUUUCAGAAAAAGAACACACACACAUAUGGUAAGGUGAAACUGCUACCUGAUCAGCGACAGCAUAUAAGAUUGCAAUAAUACAGGGAAGACAGCAGCAAACAGCAAUGCCGAUAACACAUGCCAGAGCAACACAGAAAACGACAAAGAACACAUCAAAACCCAGAAAAAUUAUACAAAGCCUGCAGAUCAAAAAUUCCAUUGCAACCGGUAAGAUUCUAAUACCAGAAAACACUUCAACCUCAAACCACACAGAAAGGGGUUAAACAAACCAAUAGAGUUGAGGGGAACCAUGCGCCAAAGUUUGGCCACCAGCAGAUACCCAGUAAAAGCCAAUGAUCCACCAGAUAAAAGAAAACAUUGUAUUCGCAGAUUCCAGAUGCUUUGCAACACUGCUGUGGCUGGUUCCAUCUUCCUCCAGUUGAGCCAACGUAACAUACUCCCCAGAAUCCCCUCUCGAUCCGGAACUCGAAUUCCCAUCACUUCCAAGCCCUCGCUCCAUCCCUACAAAUCCCACUCGCCUCCUCCGCCGCCUCCUAUACUCCACACACACACAAAGCAUAUGCAACACGCACUGAAACGCAUACCCAGCAAUCCACAGCCUCAAUGGCAUAUUGGGAUGCUCUUCCCUGCUUAAUAUCAGCACCGCCACAGCCACCGCCACAAACGCAAAGUUCCAGAUAAUGUCGAGAAUCACCACAGGUUUCGAAUACGCCCAGUCGCUCUGCCGUUCCUCGAGCUGCUCGGCGGCAGUCUCGCGCACCAGCAUCGAGGGCUCCCGCAUCAUGCGACGACUGCUGGCGCGACGCAGGAACCGCGCGGCGUCGCGCAGGGAUUGACGGCGGGCGGAUCGAGUGGCGGAAUUGUUCCCGGAUUCGCCAUGGGAGGCAGGGGAAAUCAACGGCGUUGCGUCGACGAUGUCAUCGGAGGAUCUAGUCGAGGUGGGGACCCUGGCGUUAAUUGUGGAGGUCGCGGUGGACAUUUUGGGGAAUUUAUAAUUAAUUGAAGCUUUGGGCCAUGAAAUAGGGAAGAGGGAUUUUCAGAUUUGGGGAUGGAAGAAAAAUUAGGGAAGGUUACUGAGAUUAGAGAAAUAGUAGUUUUUGAUUUUAAUU
rnacentral:misc_RNA from 1 species